GGCUGCUGGAGGUCAGGAUGGAGACCGCCUCGUCAGUGAAGGACAUUGCCUCGCUCAGAGGCCUCGGGUCCAGGCCUUCCAGUCCCAACAGAUGGGAGGGACCACCAGACAGAUCCUGGAGGACGCUACUGCAUAGGUUCAACUUGGUUUGUCUCCUCACCUCGCCUGAACCCGCGUCCUCAGCCUAUAGAAUAGAACCACCACCAACGGAACGCAAAGCCGCCUCCCCCUCGGCCUGGAGCCAAUGCGCCAUUCAGUCACAGCAGAGCGAGCCUAUCCGCUUUCAGCUGCUAUGCGUCACACACUAUUUUUCUCACCCCAAUCCACCUCUCUCUCUUUCUCUCUCUCUCUCUCUCUCUCUCUCUCUCUCUCUCUGAUUUUCAACCAUGUUUUCAACAUCUUUGAUCAUAUUACUGUAUGUUAAUGUCUCCAAAUAAGUUGCAAAUCCAGUCCACAGUCUCUCCAAAUAUCCAUUUGCAAGACAUUGACUGAUAAUAUGCCUAUUUUGAAAUAAUUCCAUUAAAUACCUACAUGUACAACAGAAUGGGUUGGAUUCUGGUUUUACAGAUACAGAUGUCUCAUGCUGUCUGUCCAUACACCUCCAAUCCCUCAUGUUGAUUGACCUGAGAGCUCUCUCCUGAACUGGGAUGCCCACUGACUCAGUGCUCAACUGGACUUGACAUUUAUCCAUCUAUCCAUGGAAUUCACCUCCAUGUGUAAUACACAGAACAUAUCUUACCAGCACUGAUUUGAAUGAUAGCUGCUUUAUUGAGGAAAGUUUACUUGCAAUGACUGUAAAUGUGGUUGUCUUGGCUACCUUAGUUGAAUGCACUGACUGUGAGUAUAUCUGGAUACAUGAACAAAAUAUACAAAAUAUGUACAGAUAUGUUUAAAGCAAAAGUUCAAUUACUA